rnacentral:rRNA from 1 species
CAAUAUGAAGGUCAGGCUGAAGACCUUACCCGAUUAGCUGAGAGGUGGUGCAUGGCCGUCGUCAGUUCGUACUGUGAAGCAUCCUGUUAAGUCAGGCAACGAGCGAGACCCACGUCCACAGUUGCCAGCAUACCCUCCGGGGUGAUGGGUACACUGUGGAGACCGCCGCUGCUAAAGCGGAGGAAGGAGUGGGCAACGGUAGGUCAGUAUGCCCCGAAUCUCCCGGGCUACACGCGGGCUACAACGGUUGGUACAAUGGGCAUCUACCCCGAAAGGGGAAGGAAAUCUCUUAAAGCCAAUCGUAGUUCGGAUUGAGGGCUGCAACUCGCCCUCAUGAAGCUGGAAUCCGUAGUAAUCGCGUUUCAACAGAACGCGGUGAAUACGUCCCUGCUCCUU